rnacentral:rRNA from 1 species
GGGUCAGUAGGUUGGUCGUGCCACCGGUACGUACUGGUCUCACUGAUUCCUCCUUCCUGAAGAACCGUAAUGCCAUUAAUUUGGUGUUGCGGGGAAACAGACUGUUACUUUGAAAAAAUUAGAGUGUUUAAAGCAAGCUAACGCUUGAAUACAUUAGCAUGGAAUAAUGAAAUAGGACGAUCGAUCCUAUUUUGUUGGUUUCUAGGAUUGACGUA